GUAAGGAAUAUUGGACAAUGGACGCAAGUCUGAUCCAGCCAUGCCGCGUGAAGGAUUAAGGUCCUCUGGAUUGUAAACUUCUUUUAUAAGGGACGAAAAAAGGCUUUUCUAAGUCGUCUGACGGUACCUUAUGAAUAAGCACCGGCUAACUCCGUGCCAGCAGCCGCGGUAAUACGGAGGGUGCAAGCGUUAUCCGGAUUCACUGGGUUUAAAGGGUGCGUAGGCGGGCAGGUAAGUCAGUGGUUAAAUCCUAGAGCUUAACUCUAGAACUGCCAUUGAUACUAUCUGUCUUGAAUAUUGUGGAGGUAAGCGGAAUAUGUCAUGUAGCGGUGAAAUGCUUAGAUAUGACAUAGAACACCUAUUGCGAAGGCAGCUUACUACGCAUAUAUUGACGCUGAGGCACGAAAGCGUGGGGAUCAAACAGGAUUAGAUACCCCAGUAGUCC
rnacentral:rRNA from 1 species